UAUUCAAAGUGCCUUGCCUUCCAACCUCAGCCUGUCAGACAGUCACCAGGGCAGAGAAACCACCGUUGUGCCUG